GGAAAGGUGAAAAGAACCCCGAACAGGGGAGUGAAAUAGAACCUGAAACCAUACGCUUACAACCGGUCGGAGCAGCUUCGUGCUGUGACGGCGUGCCUAUUGAAUAAUGAGCCUACGAGUUACUAAUCACUGGCGAGGUUAAGUGCACGGAUGCACGGAGCCGAAGCGAAAGCGAGUCUGAACAGGGCGGCUAGUCAGUGGUUGUAGACGCGAAACCUUGCGAUCUACCCUUGAGCAGGUUGAAGGUUGGGUAAAACCAACUGGAGGACCGAACGAAUAAGCGUUGAAAAGCUUCUCGAUGACUUGAGGGUAGGGGUGAAAGGCUAAUCAAGCUGGGAAAUAGCUCGUACUCCCCGAAAUGCCUUUUGGGGCAGCGUUGUAAUAAAGAGUCUACUGGAGGUAGAGCUACUGAUUGGAUGCGGGGGCUUCACCGCCUACCAAAUCCUGACAAACUCCGAAUGCCAGUAGUAUGAUUUACAGCAGUGAGUGACUGGGUGCUAAUGUCCAGUCGCAAAAGAGGAACAACUCAGACCAGCAACUAAGGUCCCGAAGAAUAUGCUAAGUUGAUCUAACGAUGUUUUGUUGCAGAGACAGCUAGGAUGUUAGCUUGGAAGCAGCUAUUCAUUCAAAGAGUGCGUAACAGCUCACUAGUCGAGCGACAGAGCGUGGAUAAUAAACGGGCAUCAAGCAUAUCACCGAAGUUCUGGGCGCGAGAGCGCGGUAGGGGAGCAUUCCAUUCAGCGUCGAAGCAGUUUCGUGAGGAAUUGUGGAGCGUAUGGAAAAGCAAAUGUAGGCAUGAGUAACGAUAAUGCGGGAGAGUAACCCGCACACCGCAAGACCAAGGUUUCCUGAUCAACGCUAAUCGGAUCAGGGUUAGUCGGGUCCUAAGGGUAAGCCGAACGGCGAUCUCGAUGGAUAAUCGGUUAAUAUUCCGAUACUAACAUAUACCUCGAUGGAGAGACGAAGGAACGUAAGUGCCGCCACCUGACGGAAUAGGUGGUUAAAGGGCGUAGAUAUAGGGGCAGAUUAAGAGUUAGUCCUUGCUGAAACCUGACAGUACAGAGAGCCUACGGGCAAUUUGAUAGAGCACCCAAGUCGACUUCCGAGAAAAUCUUCUAAGUUAUAGUAUAUGUUACCCGUACCGUAAACCGACACAGGUGGUCGAGGAGAGUAUCCUAAGGUGCUCGAGUGAAUCACGGUUAAGGAACUAGGCAAAUUAACCCCGUAACUUCGGGAAAAGGGGUCCCUAUGAAAGUAGGGCGCAGCGAAGAGGUCCAGGCGACUGUUUAUCAAAAACACAGGGCUCUGCAAAUUCGAAAGAAGACGUAUAGGGCCUGACACCUGCCCGGUGCUGGAAGGUUAAGAGGGGAUGUCAUCGCAAGAGAAGCAUUGAAUCGAAGCCCCAGUAAACGGCGGCCGUAACUAUAACGGUCCUAAGGUAGCGAAAUUCCUUGUCGGGUAAGUUCCGACCUGCACGAAUGGUGUAACGAUCUGGACACUGUCUCAACCGUGAGCUCGGUGAAAUUGUAGUCCCGGUGAUGAUGCCGGGUACCCGCAACGGGACGAAAAGACCCCGUGAACCUUUACUAUAGCUUAACGCUGAAUUUGGGUACACAAUGUGUAGGAUAGGC
rnacentral:rRNA from 1 species